CGACUUUUCGGGAUUGUGCCCGACUAGUACCUAAAAAUUUUUUCCGGAAAAAUUAUUUCGGCGACCAAAAUUUUUUGGUACUAGUCGGGCACAAUCACGAAAAGUCGGG